rnacentral:lncRNA from 1 species
UAUAAUAUUUAAUACAAAAAUAAAAACAUAUAUAAAAAACCAGUCACAGGCGGGCUCUGAAUGCUCUGAUACACGUCUAUUCGGAACAGGGCUACCUUGAUUCAGAAUGAAAAUUUCCGUAUGUGUGCGGCGGUCGAACCAAAUUGUUCGCGAGCGCUGCGUUCGGAAUGACGUCAUCAGGUUUUAUUCCGUUCUGAGUACCCGAACGCACGGAGAAAAUUUUAAACCGAAUGUCAGGUUUUUUUCCGUCCGGAAAAAGUAAGAACGUGUGCGCUCUUGUGAACAUUUUGUAUGAAAAAAGAGCAUUCCGGUUUCCGAAUCAGGAUUCCUGAUCAGGAAACCGGAU